UGGGGAAUUUUGCACAAUGGGGGAAACCCUGAUGCAGCGACGCCGCGUGAUUUAGAAGGCCUUCGGGUUGUAAAAAUCUUUUCUAUGGGAAGAAAAUGACAGUACCAUAGGAAUAAGGACCGGCUAAUUACGUGCCAGCAGCCGCGGUAAUACGUAAGGUCCGAGCGUUGUCCGGAAUCAUUGGGCGUAAAGGGUACGUAGCCGGGUAAGCAAGUUAGAAGUGAAAUCCUAUAGCUCAACUAUAGUAAGCUUUUAAAACUGCUCAUCUUGAGGUAUGGAAGGGAAAGUGGAAUUCCUAGUGUAGCGGUGAAAUGCGCAGAUAUUAGGAGGAAUACCGGUGGCGAAGGCGACUUUCUGGCCAUAACCUGACGCUGAGGUACGAAAGCGUGGGUAGCAAACAGG
rnacentral:rRNA from 1 species